CGGCAGGAGGUGCUCCAGGUGCUGGAGCUGAAGUUCCCCCACGGCCUGUGGAGAGGCCCCUGGUGGAGCAGGCUGUCCCCCUGCAGCCCACGGGUCCCACAGCAGAGCAGAUUUCCACACUGCAGCCCAUGGAGGAGCCCACGGCAGAGCAGGUGGAUCUGCCCUGAAGGAGGCUGCAGCCUGUGGAAAACCCCCGCUGGAGCAGACUCCAGGCCGGAGCUGCAGCCCAUGGAGAGGAGACCAUGCAGGAGCAGCUGCAGUUCUGGGAGGCUCUGAGAAUCCCUGGUUCCCAAAGUGAGUGGAAAAGAAAGGGCAAAGACAUGAAGGGGUGGAGAUUCUGCCUCUCAUCUUUCUCUUUUAAAUGAAUUCAGCUUAUACAAGU